GUAUUUGCUUCGGCGGUACAUACAUUAAAAUUGGAACGAUACAGAAAAGAUUAGCAUGGCCCCUGCGCAAGGAUGACACGCCGUUUAUAGUGAUUCAAUAAAAAUAU